rnacentral:rRNA from 2 species
GUAGGUGGGGUAACGGCUCACCUAGGCGACGAUCCCUAGCUGGUCUGAGAGGAUGACCAGCCACACUGGAACUGAGACACGGUCCAGACUCCUACGGGAGGCAGCAGUGGGGAAUAUUGCACAAUGGGCGCAAGCCUGAUGCAGCCAUGCCGCGUGUAUGAAGAAGGCCUUCGGGUUGUAAAGUACUUUCAGCGGGGAGGAAGGGAGUAAAGUUAAUACCUUUGCUCAUUGACGUUACCCGCAGAAGAAGCACCGGCUAACUCCGUGCCAGCAGCCGCGGUAAUACGGAGGGUGCAAGCGUUAAUCGGAAUUACUGGGCGUAAAGCGCACGCAGGCGGUUUGUUAAGUCAGAUGUGAAAUCCCCGGGCUCAACCUGGGAACUGCAUCUGAUACUGGCAAGCUUGAGUCUCGUAGAGGGGGGUAGAAUUCCAGGUGUAGCGGUGAAAUGCGUAGAGAUCUGGAGGAAUACCGGUGGCGAAGGCGGCCCCCUGACGAAGACUACGUCAG